CAAAGAGGGGGACCUUAGGGCUUCUUGCCAUCGGAUGUGCCCAGAUGGGAUUAGCUAGUAGGUGGGGUAACGGCUCACCUAGGCGACGAUCCCUAGCUGGUCUGAGAGGAUGACCAGCCACACUGGAACUGAGACACGGUCCAGACUCCUACGGGAGGCAGCAGUGGGGAAUAUUGCACAAUGGGCGCAAGCCUGAUGCAGCCAUGCCGCGUGUAUGAAGAAGGCCUUCGGGUUGUAAAGUACUUUCAGCGGGGAGGAAGGGAGUAAAGUUAAUACCUUUGCUCAUUGACGUUACCCGCAGAAGAAGCACCGGCUAACUCCGUGCCAGCAGCCGCGGUAAUACGGAGGGUGCAAGCGUUAAUCGGAAUUACUGGGCGUAAAGCGCACGCAGGCGGUUUGUUAAGUCAGAUGUGAAAUCCCCGGGCUCAACCUGGGAACUGCAUCUGAUACUGGCAAGCUUGAGUCUCGUAGAGGGGGGUAGAAUUCCAGGUGUAGCGGUGAAAUGCGUAGAGAUCUGGAGGAAUACCGGUGGCGAAGGCGGCCCCCUGGACGAAGACUGACGCUCAGGUGCGAAAGCGUGGGGAGCAAACAGGAUUAGGUACCCUGGUAGUCCACGCCGUAAACGAUGUCGACUUGGAGGUUGUGCCCUUGAGGCGUGG
rnacentral:rRNA from 1 species